GAAAUCUAUUUAGGUAGAGCGUCACGAUUAGACUCUGGGGGGUAGAGCACUGAAUGGGCUAGGGGUCCUCACCGGAUUACCAAACCUUAUCAAACUCCGAAUACCAAGAAGUACUAAUCGGCAGACACACGGCGGGUGCUAACGUCCGUCGUGGAGAGGGAAACAACCCAGACCGCCAGCUAAGGUCCCAAAAUAUUGCUAAGUGGGAAACGAUGUGGGAAGGCAUAGACAGCUAGGAGGUUGGCUUAGAAGCAGCCACCCUUUAAAGAAAGCGUAAUAGCUCACUAGUCGAGUCGGCCUGCGCGGAA
rnacentral:rRNA from 1 species